ensembl:lncRNA FMR1 neighbor
ACUGGUUGCUACUGUGGUGGUGUUGUUUGAAACCUAUUUUAAAGAAAUCCUUAAAGUAAUUUCUGAGUGUGCUAUAAAACUGGAUCAUUAAAAAAAGAGCAACAAUUAUAGGUGAAUGCUUUAAGUUUCUACUGAGGAUUCAAUAAGACAAAGAUUCUUUCUCGCAUUUUUGCUCUGAAUUCCAAUAUUUUUUUCCAAUAAAAAUUUCCAGUUUCCAAUAAAAGCAGGUAAUUUAAACCAAAUGAGCAUCCUGUAGAUGUUAUCUUUAAAUGAUGAGGAACUCAACUAUUUUAGAAAUGGUAUAAUGAAGAUUUGUUUAAGGUCAAAUGGGGGUAUUAAAUGCCUUUUUUUUUUUUUUUUUUGGCUGAUGGAUUUAGUCUAUACUUGAGGCUCGUGUUAAAUUUAAUAAAAUCAAUUGUCUGUUAUGAGGAGUGUAUUUUCAUAGCCUGAGGUAUCCAUUACCUGAUCUGCAUAUGUGCCUAUUAGGUGGUGUUCCUGUAUAUUGUAUGUUAGUAAUGGCACAAACUUAACUUACUGAGUUAAAAGACUGUGUCUUCUAGCCGUCUGCUCCUUGGGAAGCUGACUUUUUCAUGCCACAUGCAGCUGCUUUUUCUGGUCUAUCGAACGUUAGCUUCAGUUCCACAUCUGUACUGUUUGUUCUGAGCUACGUCAUAGGUAACAAGUAGCCCAUUGUGACAAGGAGGUUUGACUCUGCCUGGAGUUGCACAGGGUAGCAGUGAUCUUACUGAUCCAAUUGCAGAAGAAAAUACAAGUAAUGCUACAAGAAGGAAUUGGCUUUCAUCUAUUGUGGAGCUAUGUCAUAUUGAUACUGCUUCAUAGCGUCAAUUCAAGUUUUACAUCACCAACUCCUGCUUCAGAAAAAAAUGAAGUGGCAGGCAGCAACUUUGUCACGAAAGUGAAAGGUGCAUCUAACGCGUUUUUAAACCUCUUCAGGCCAGUGACUUGCCGAUACAAAGAAAGGCACACCUUAGUCCCUUGUCGUGCAGGAGGGAACAUUAAUGCAACAAAGUGCUUGGAAAAUAGAUGUUGUCCUUCCAAAGGCAGGCAUCAACUGGAAUGUUAUGUCCCAUUUAAAGACAAUCUGCAGCUGGCACUUCGACUGUUUCUGGUUGGGGCACUUGGAUGUAUAAUUUUGGGUUGUGUACCAUUAUUUUGCUGUGCCUGGCUUCAGAAGAGUCCAUGUAUCAAUCCUUUACGAAGUGCAAACAUAACAAUAGAACAAAUUGUGAAGAACAAGAGAGCAAAUAGUGAAGAAAUGCGUAGCUUGUUAUCAAAUUGACCUAAAGGCUUUGAGGAGCAUAAACACAAAAGAAAGGGUACAGUGGUUCUUUGGAGGACAGGACACUACAUGCCAGCUCCAUUAAAACACCAGAAUUGAAUUAAAGCUUUAUGAAACAUUAUGGAAGUUCUGGAUAUAUUUUAAUUUCUAAAAUGCUCAUUGCAUACUUCUUACAUUCUUUUGAUACAUAUAUCUUACAUUCUUUGGAAUGUAAAAAUGUGGCAGAUCCAGGUGAAGCAGAUGAACCUGAUUAUUAGGCCACUGACCCUGAGUGAAAGGAAGUUAGAGAACAAGAGAUGAGAGCAGAAGCAGCCUGGGAUAUUCAGAGUUAACGAGGACAGCAAAUAAG